rnacentral:rRNA from 1 species
UGCGUAGGUGGUCGGGUAAGUCUGAUGUGAAAUCUCUGGGCUCAACCCAGAAAUUGCAUUGGAUACUAUCCGGCUGGAGGAGUGGAGGGGGGACUGGAAUGCUUGGUGUAGCAGUGAAAUGCGUAGAUAUCAAGCGGAACACCAGUGGCGAAGGCGAGUCCCUGGACACUUCCUGACACUGAGGCACGAAAGCUAGGGGAGCAAACA